GACGUAGGGCGCGAGCGUUGUCCGGAAUCACUGGGCGUAAAGGGCGCGUAGGCGGCCUGAUAAGUAGGGGGUGAAAUCCUGUGGCUUAACUGCAGGGCUGCCUCCUAGACUGUUAGGCUCGAGCACGGUAGAGGCAGAUGGAAUUCCCGGUGUAGCGGUGGAAUGCGUAGAGAUCGGGAAGAACAUCGGUGGCGAAGGCGGUCUGCUGGGCCGUUGCUGACGCUGAGGCGCGACAGCGUGGGGAGCAAACAGG
rnacentral:rRNA from 1 species